UCUCCGUUGGUGAACCAGCGGAGGGAUCAUUGCUGAGUUACCGCUCUACAACCCCUUGUGAACAUACCUAACUGUUGCUUCGGCGGGCAGAGGUCCCUCGCGGAUCUCUCCCGGCAACGCCCUCACGGGCGGAGCGCCCGCCGGAGGAUACCAAACUCUAUUUUAACGACGUUUCUUCUGAGUGGCACAAGCAAAUAAUUAAAACUUUUAACAACGGAUCUCUUGGUUCUG
rnacentral:misc_RNA from 1 species